GCUUUAACGAGUAUCCAUGUGGAGGGCAAGUCUGGUGCCAGCAGCCGCGGUAAUUCCAGCUCCAAAAGUAUAUAUUUAAGUUGUUGCGGUUAAAAAGCUCGUAGUUGGAUUUUGGGCGCAGGCGGCCGGUCCGUCGCAAGGCGUGUACUGGACGUCCUGGCCUUCCCUCCGGUUCUCCGCCGGUGCUCUUGACUGAGUGUCGGCGGCGGCCGGAACGUUUACUUUGAAAAAAUUAGAGUGUUCAAAGCAGGCUCUCGAGCCUGGAUAAUGGUGCAUGGAAUAAUGGAAUAGGACCUCGGUUCUAUUUUGUUGGUUUUCGGAGCGCGAGGUAAUGAUUAAGAGGGACAGACGGGGGCAUUCGUACUGUGCCGUUAGAGGUGAAAUUCUUGGAUCGGCGCAAGACGAACGACUGCGAAAGCAUUUGCCAAGAAUGUUUUCUUUAAUCAAGAGCGAAAGUCAGAGGUUCGAAGACGAUCAGAUACCGUCCUAGUUCUGACUAUAAACGAUGCCAACUAGCGAUCGGGGGGCGUUACAUUGACGACCCCUCCGGCAGCUUACGGGAAACCAAAGUCUUUGGGUUCCGGGGGAAGUAUGGUUGCAAAGCUGAAACUUAAAGGAAUUGACGGAAGGGCACCACCAGGAGUGGAGCCUGCGGCUUAAUUUGACUCAACACGGGAAAUCUCACC
rnacentral:ncRNA from 1 species